UACGUAGGGGGCAAGCGUUGUCCGGAUUUAUUGGGCGUAAAGCGCUCGCAGGUGGUUCGAUGCGUCGUGCGUGAAAGACCCCGGCUCAACUGGGGAGGGUCGUGCGAUACGGUCGGACUGGAGGCCAGUAGGGGGAUGCGGAAUUCCGGGUGUAGUGGUGGAAUGCGUAGAGAUCCGGAGGAACACCAGCGGCGAAGGCAGCUCGCUGGGACGUGACUGACGCUGAGACGCGAAAGCGUGGGGAGCAAACAGG
rnacentral:rRNA from 1 species